CCUACGGGAGGCAGCAGUGAGGAAUAUUGGUCAAUGGACGAGAGUCUGAACCAGCCAAGUAGCGUGAAGGAUGACUGCCCUAUGGGUUGUAAACUUCUUUUAUAUGGGAAUAAAAUGUUCCACGUGUGGGAGUUUGUAUGUACCGUAUGAAUAAGGAUCGGCUAACUCCGUGGCAGCAGCCGCGGUAAUACGGAGGAUCCGAGCGUUAUCCGGAUUUAUUGGGUUUAAAGGGAGCGUAGGUGGAUUGUUAAGUCAGUUGUGAAAGUCUGCGGCUCAACCGGAAAAUUGCAGUUGAAACUGACAGUCUUGAGUACAGUAGAGGUAGGCGGAAUUCGUGGUGUAGCGGUGAAAUGCAUAGAUAUCACGAAGAACUCCGAUUGCGAAGGCAGCUCACUGGACUGCAACUGACACUGAGGCUCGAAAGUGCGGGUAUCAAACAGGAUUAGAUACCCUAGUAGUC
rnacentral:rRNA from 1 species